ACGGAAGGCAGCAGUGGGGAAUAUUGCACAAUGGGGGAAACCCUGAUGCAGCGACGCCGCGUGAGUGAUGAAGUAUUUCGGUAUGUAAAGCUCUAUCAGCAGGGAAGAUAAUGACGGUACCUGACUAAGAAGCUCCGGCUAAAUACGUGCCAGCAGCCGCGGUAAUACGUAUGGAGCAAGCGUUAUCCGGAUUUACUGGGUGUAAAGGGAGCGCAGGCGGUCUGGCAAGUCUGAUGUGAAAACCCGGGGCUCAACCCCGGGACUGCAUUGGAAACUGUCAGACUAGAGUGUCGGAGGGGUAAGUGGAAUUCCUAGUGUAGCGGUGAAAUGCGUAGAUAUUAGGAGGAACACCAGUGGCGAAGGCGGCUUACUGGACGACAACUGACGCUGAGGCUCGAAAGCGUGGGGAGCAAACAGGAUUAGAUACCCUGGUA
rnacentral:rRNA from 1 species